UACAGAGGUCUCGAGCGUUAGGCGGAAUCACUGGGCUUAAAGCGUGUGUAGGCGGAUUGCUAAGUACCUUGUGAAAUCCCACAGCUUAACCGUGGAACUGCUUGGUAUACUGGCUGUCUUGAGCCACUUAGGGGCAACCGGAACAAACGGUGGAGCGGUGAAAUGCGUAGAUAUCGUUUGGAACGCCAAUGGUGAAAACAGGUUGCUGGGAGUGUGCUGACGCUGAGACACGAAAGCCAGGGGAGCAAACGGG
rnacentral:rRNA from 1 species